rnacentral:rRNA from 1 species
UAAUUUGCAGAGGAUGCUUCUGGCGAGGUGCCUUCCGAGUUCCCUGGAACGGGACGCCGCAGAGGGUGAGAGCCCCGUCUGGUCGGACACCGAGCCUCUGUGAAGCUCCUUCGACGAGUCGAGUAGUUUGGGAAUGCUGCUCUAAAUGGGAGGUAUAUGUCUUCUAAAGCUAAAUACCGGCCAGAGACCGAUAGCGCACAAGUAGAGUGAUCGAAAGAUGAAAAGCACUUUGAAAAGAGGGUUAAACAGUACGUGAAAUUGUUGAAAGGGAAGCGCUCACGACCAGACCUGGUCCCGGCGAAUCACCCGGCGUUCUCGCCGGUGCACUUCGACGGGCUUCCAGGCCAGCAUCAGUCCGCGCCGGGGGACAAAGGCGGCGGGAACGUGGCUCCCCAGGGAGUGUUAUAGCCCGCCGCGCAAUGCCCCGGGGGCGGACUGAGGACCGCGCGUCACCGCAAGGAUGCUGGCGUAAUGGUCGUCAGCGACCCGUCUUGAAACACGGACCAAGGAGUCGUCCUCGUAUGCGAGUGUUGGGGCGUCAAACCCCCCGCGCGUAAUGAAAGUGAACGGCAGGUGAGAGCCCUCGCGGGCGCAUCAUCGACCGAUCCUGAUGUUCUCGGAUGGAUUUGAGUAGGAGCAUACGGGGCCGGACCCGAAAGAAGGUGAACUAUGCCUGUGUAGGGUGAAGCCAGAGGAAACUCUGGUGGAGGCUCGCAGCGGUUCUGACGUGCAAAUCGAUCGUCAAACAUGGGCAU